rnacentral:rRNA from 1 species
UAGGGAAUCUUCGGCAAUGGACGAAAGUCUGACCGAGCAACGCCGCGCGAGUGAAGAAGGUUUUCGGAUCGUAAAACUCUGUUGUUAGAGAAGAACAAGGACGUUAGUAACUGAACGUCCCCUGACGGUAUCUAACCAGAAAGCCACGGCUAACUACGUGCCAGCAGCCGCGGUAAUACGUAGGUGGCAAGCGUUGUCCGGAUUUAUUGGGCGUAAAGCGAGCGCAGGCGGUUUCUUAAGUCUGAUGUGAAAGCCCCCGGCUCAACCGGGGAGGGUCAUUGGAAACUGGGGGACUUGAGUGCAGAAGAGGAGAGUGGAAUUCCAUGUGUAGCGGUGAAAUGCGUAGAUAUAUGGGGGAACACCAGUGGAGAAGGCGGCUCUCUGGUCUGUAACUGACGCUGAGGCUCGAAAGCGUGGGGAGCAAACAGG